CUCCCUGAUGUUAGCGGCGGACGGGUGAGUAACACGUGGGUAACCUGCCUGUAAGACUGGGAUAACUCCGGGAAACCGGGGCUAAUACCGGAUGCUUGUUUGAACCGCAUGGUUCAAACAUAAAAGGUGGCUUCGGCUACCACUUACAGAUGGACCCGCGGCGCAUUAGCUAGUUGGUGAGGUAAUGGCUCACCAAGGCAACGAUGCGUAGCCGACCUGAGAGGGUGAUCGGCCACACUGGGACUGAGACACGGCCCAGACUCCUACGGGAGGCAGCAGUAGGGAAUCUUCCGCAAUGGACGAAAGUCUGACGGAGCAACGCCGCGUGAGUGAUGAAGGUUUUCGGAUCGUAAAGCUCUGUUGUUAGGGAAGAACAAGUACCGUUCGAAUAGGGCGGUACCUUGACGGUACCUAACCAGAAAGCCACGGCUAACUACGUGCCAGCAGCCGCGGUAAUACGUAGGUGGCAAGCGUUGUCCGGAAUUAUUGGGCGUAAAGGGCUCGCAGGCGGUUUCUUAAGUCUGAUGUGAAAGCCCCCGGCUCAACCGGGGAGGGUCAUUGGAAACUGGGGAACUUGAGUGCAGAAGAGGAGAGUGGAAUUCCACGUGUAGCGGUGAAAUGCGUAGAGAUGUGGAGGAACACCAGUGGCGAAGGCGACUCUCUGGUCUGUAACUGACGCUGAGGAGCGAAAGCGUGGGGAGCGAACAGGAUUAGAUACCCUGGUAGUCCACGCCGUAAACGAUGAGUGCUAACUGUUAGGGGGUUUCCGCCCCUUAGUGCUGCAGCUAACGCAUUAAGCACUCCGCCUGGGGAGUACGGUCGCAAGACUGAAACUCAAAGGAAUUGACGGGGGCCCGCACAAACGGUGGAGCAUGUGGUUUAAUUCGAAACAACGCGAAG
rnacentral:rRNA from 1 species